rfam:Eimeria praecox, Houghton, WGS project CBTT01000000 data, contig: Eph_contig976_5
GGGCUGAUGGUGUAGGGGUAUCACGUUUGCUUUGCAUGCAAAAGGUCCGGGGUUCAAAUCCCCGUCAGUCCA